UUGGAGGGCAAGUCUGGUGCCAGCAGCCGCGGUAAUUCCAGCUCCAAUAGCGUAUAUUAAAGUUGUUGCAGUUAAAAAGCUCGUAGUUGAAUUUCGGGAUCGACGGGUCGGUCGCGCCUCUGGUGUGUACUGGCCCUGUCGGUUUCUCCCUUCUGACGAACCACGAUGUCAUUAAUUUGGUGUCGUGGGAAAUCAGGACUGUUACUUUGAAAAAAUUAGAGUGUUUAAAGCAGGCAUUCGCUUGAAUACAUUAGCAUGGAAUAAUGAAAUAGGACGUUUGAUCUUAUUUUGUUGGUUUCUAAGAUCGACGUAAUGAUUAAUAGGGAUAGUUGGGGGCAUUAGUAUUCAAUUGUCAGAGGUGAAAUUCUUGGAUUUAUUGAAGACUAACUACUGCGAAAGCAUUUGCCAAGGAUGUUUUCAUUAAUCAAGAACGAAAGUUAGGGGAUCGAAGACGAUCAGAUACCGUCGUAGUCUUAACCAUAAACUAUGCCGACUAGGGAUCGGAUGAUGUUAAUUUUUUAAUGACUCAUUCGGCGCCUUACGGGAAACAAUCG
rnacentral:rRNA from 1 species